rnacentral:rRNA from 1 species
AUUGAACGCUGGCGGCAGGCUUAACACAUGCAAGUCGAGCGGGGGAAGGUAGCUUGCUACCGGACCUAGCGGCGGACGGGUGAGUAAUGCUUAGGAAUCUGCCUAUUAGUGGGGGACAACAUCUCGAAAGGGAUGCUAAUACCGCAUACGUCCUACGGGAGAAAGCAGGGGAUCUUCGGACCUUGCGCUAAUAGAUGAGCCUAAGUCGGAUUAGCUAGUUGGUGGGGUAAAGGCCUACCAAGGCGACGAUCUGUAGCGGGUCUGAGAGGAUGAGCCUCCACACUUGGACUGAGACACGGCCCAGACUCCUACGGGGGGGAGCAGUGGGGAAUAUUGGACAAUGGGGGGAACCCUGAUCCAGCCAUGCCGCGUGUGUGAAGAAGGCCUUAUGGUUGUAAAGCACUUUAAGCGAGGAGGAGGCUACUCUAGUUAAUACCUAGGGAUAGUGGACGUUACUCGCAGAAUAAGCACCGGCUAACUCUGUGCCAGCCGCCGCGGUAA